rnacentral:rRNA from 1 species
UACGUAGGGGGCUAGCGUUGUCCGGAUUUAUUGGGCGUAAAGAGCGUGUAGGCGGCCAAGCAGGUCCGCUGUGAAAACUCGAGGCUCAACCUCGAGACGUCGGUGGAAACCGUUUGGCUAGAGUCCGGAAGAGGAGAGUGGAAUUCCUGGUGUAGCGGUGAAAUGCGCAGAUAUCAGGAAGAACACCCGUGGCUAAGGCGGCUCUCUAGUACGGUACUGACGCUGAGACGCGAAAGCGUGGGGAGCGAACAGG